rnacentral:rRNA from 1 species
GACGAACGCUGGCGGCGUGCUUAACACAUGCAAGUCGAACGGUAAGGCCCUUCGGGGUACACGAGUGGCGAACGGGUGAGUAACACGUGGGUGAUCUGCCCUGCACUUCGGGAUAAGCCUGGGAAACUGGGUCUAAUACCGGAUAGGACCACUGCCUGCAUGGGUGGUGGUGGAAAGCUUUUGCGGUGUGGGAUGGGCCCGCGGCCUAUCGGCUUGUUGGUGGGGUGAUGGCCUACCAAGGCGACGACGGGUAGCCGGCAUGAGAGGGUGACCGGCCACACUGGGACUGAGAUACGGCCCAGACUCCUACGGGAGGCAGCAGGGGGGAAUAUUGCACAAUGGGGGCAAGCCUGAGGCAGCGACGCCGCGUGGGGGAUGACGGCCUUCGGGUUGUAAACCUCUUUCAGCACCGACGAAGCGCAAGUGACGGUAGGUGCAGAAGAAGGACCGGCCAACUACGUGCCAGCCGCCGCCGUAA